rnacentral:snoRNA from 1 species
GCCUAUGAUGUUUUAAUCCGUAUUAAUGAGGUGUAGUGGAGCCAAGUCCCUGCUUUGCAGGGGGAACCUCUUGGUGAAGCUACAUUCCAAAUGAUCAUGCUGGAUUUUCUGAGGC